UACGUAGGUGGCAAGCGUUAUCCGGAUUUAUUGGGCGUAAAGGGAACGCAGGCGGUCUUUUAAGUCUGAUGUGAAAGCCUUCGGCUUAACCGGAGUAGUGCAUUGGAAACUGGGAGACUUGAGUGCAGAAGAGGAGAGUGGAACUCCAUGUGUAGCGGUGAAAUGCAUAGAUAUAUGGAAGAACACCAGUGGCGAAAGCGGCUCUCUGGUCUGUAACUGACGCUGAGGUUCGAAAGCGUGGGUAGCAAACAGG
rnacentral:rRNA from 1 species